rnacentral:hammerhead_ribozyme from 1 species
AUCUAGAUGACGAGUUCCGAAUAGGAUGAAACGCGCGUUCUCCUGGAU